CCAAAGGCAGGUGUGAAUUGCCAAGGGUGCUCACUGCGGGCAGCGCGCUGCGCCCGGUCCGGAGCGGCCCCGCGGGCCCGGCCCACACGCGCGGAGUUACCUGGGCACGCUCCGCCGGGGCUCAGGGGAAGGGCACCCUGGAGUGGAGCGGCAUGCAGCGCCGGUGGGAGCAGCCGUGCCGGUGGAGCUUCCUGCGCAGGGCCAGGACAAAUUUAGGGAUGUGAUCUCUCACUCACCAUGAAUGAGAACACACCGGCCACCUCAUUCAUACAGCCCUGCAAAUGACGAUCACUUUCAUUCAGCAGAGGAAUUAUUUCACUAACCAGACAAGAUCUGGGAUAAACACGUUUGCGUCAAAAGAAUUUGGUGAAGCACGUCUUCGAGUCCACUUGCAAAUGUCAUUAGAGAAAGUUCUCGGCUUUUCCUUCUUCCUUUCUAUUACACUGC